UGUAAACCGGAGCCUUUUCCUAUGUGACUGCUGAAACUGUAAACAGAAACCGUUUACUUGUCAGUCCUUAAACUGUAAACCGGAGCCUUUUCCUAUCUUUUUUAUGUGACUGCUGAAACUGUAAAUAGAAACCGUUUUACUUGUCAGUCCUAAAACUGUAAACCGGAGCCCUUUCCUAUGUGACUCCUGAAAGCGUAAACAGAAACCGUUUGACAUGUUAGUCCUAAAAGUAUAAACCGGAGCCUUUUCCUAUGUGACUGCUGAAAUUGUAAAGAGAAACCGUUUGACAUGUGAGUCCUACAACUGUUAACCGGAGCUUUUUUAUGUGACUGCUGAAACUGUAAACAGAAACCGUUUUACUUGUCAGUCCUAAAACUGUAAACUGGAGCCCUUUCCUAUGUGACUCCUGAAACGGUAAACAGAAACCGUUUCACAUGUGAAUCCUAAAACUGUAUAUCGGAGCCCUUUCCUAUGUGACUCCUGAAACUGUAAACAGAAACCGUUUCCCAUGCGAUUCCUAAAACUGUGAACCUAAGAUUCUUUCACCUGUAAUAUCUAAAGUAUAAGCCUGUAUAAAGGGUGAACCUCCCAUUUUCAGUUGAGCUGGGUUUUGGACAAAUUAUUGCCCAGGCUCCCGGCCGACAUAAUAAACCCCUCUUCCUCCUGCA